AAAUUCUUCGCCACUCAUUUUAAUAUCAAUGCCCAUUUCUUCAGUUUCCGACUUUUCUAUAUUGUAUCUUUCAUGAAUUUAUUUUUAUUUCACCUCAACAGUUUGCAUCUUCUAUGAUUCUCUCUGAUUCAGAAUAAAAAUCACAGAGAAUCUACGUAAAGAUGCCAAAUAAUCGAUACCUAUGGACACGCAGCUCCAAUUUUCGCAGUGGUUCCUGCGUUUUCUCGUUAGAGAGGCUGGUUGGUAUGCACAUUCCGACUUGAUUUUAGCCUGAAGGAAGUUUCUGCCGUUUCACUUUGGAUCUGAUCGGCGGCGGCUUUAUGAAUCUUUUAUCUAUUGAUUAAAGAUGAGGGCUCUAUCGAUUUGUUCAAAGUGGGAGGGCCGAUUGUUGUGAUAUUUUCUUCCUUUGGGUUAAAAUCUUCGAGGAAUUAUCGAUCAGUUUUCUGAUGUGGAAAAACUGUGGCCUUUAACUGAGAGCUAGAUCUCAUCUCAUUUUGCAAAUUGGUGUUAUUUUGAGUUUUGCAGUUGUUUUCGUACGUUUUUACUUUUAUUUUUGUUAGUUUAUCAGUUUGUUUUGGUAUUUCGAAUCUACAAUUUUAUUUUUCUUUUUAUUUCAGCUGAAUGAUUAUAUUAUGUAGAAAGGUUCGUAAAAUUGUCGACUCAGUUGAUACAUAAAUCAAUCAACUUUUUUUUUUGAAGAAAAACCAAUCAAUUUAUCUU